AACGCACAUUGCACUCUUUGGUUAUUCAGAGAGUAUACCUGUUUGAGUAUCAGUUAUCCCUUCUAAUCAAGUAUUUGAUUGAUCUGAGUCACUAUGAAUUUCAUACGACUUGUAAAGCAUAAGUAAAAAAAGAUGCGUUGUGUAAACAAAAGCGUGUUGUAAUCAAGAGUUGCUUGUUCCUCACCGCCUUUCAACCAACACAUCGAUUUCUAAUAACAAUGAUCUCAAAUCAGGUAGGAUUACCCGCUGAACUUAA
rnacentral:misc_RNA from 1 species